rnacentral:SRP_RNA from 1 species
GCCGGGCGCGGUGGCGCGUGCCUGUAGUCCCAGCUACUAGGGAGGCUGAGGCUGGAGGAUCGCUUGAGUCCAGGAGUUCUGGGCUGUAGUGCGCUAUGCCGAUCGGGUGUCCGCACUAAGUUCGGCAUCAAUAUGGUGACCUCCCGGGAGCGGGGGACCACCAGGUUGCCUAAGGAGGGGUGAACCGGCCCAGGUCGGAAACGGAGCAGGUCAAAACUCCCGUGCUGAUCAGUAGUGGGAUCGCGCCUGUGAAUAGCCACUGCACUCCAGCCUGGGCAACAUAGCGAGACCCUGUCUCUUU